rnacentral:lncRNA from 1 species
UAUAUAUACGUAUUAGUUUCUCAAGGGUGUGUCGGCAACGGAGGCCAUUUGCCGAACUUAGGGUGGUGAAAGUAUUUAGGAGGAAGAGGCGGUAACUUUGGAAGUGGCGGACAUGGCUUCUUCGGAAUCACCACCGGUGGUAUGUGUAUUGGUACCGGCGGAGGACACGGCUUCUUCGGGAUCACCGGUGGCACGUAGAUUGGUGGAUGCUCUAUCUUCGGCGGCGGCUUGUAGAUUGGAACCGGCGGCGGAAGCUCUAUCUUCGGUGGUUUAGGCGGACACGGCUUAUUUGUCGGCGGCUUGUAGAUCGGAACCGGUGGUGGAAGCUCGAUCUUUGGCGGUUUGGGCGGGCACGGCUUCUUUGGCGGCUUGUGGACUGGAACCGGCGGUGGAUGGACUAUCUUCGGCGGUUUGGGCGGAUAAGACUUCUUAGGCGGUGGUUUGUGCACUGGCACCGGCGGUGGAUCAACUUUCUUCGGCGGCUUAGGUGGGCAUGGCUUCUUGGGGAUUGGCGGUGGCUUGUGUACCGGAACCGGGGGUGGGUGCUCUAUCUUUGGUGGCGGCUUGUAAACCGGAACCGGAGGUGGGUGCUCUACCUUUGGCGGCGGCUUGUAAACCGGAACCGGUGGUGGAUGCUCUAUCUUUGGCGGUUUAGGCGGACAAGGCUUCUUAGGAAUCGGCGGUGGGAGCUCCACCUUUGGAGGUGGUUUGUGAACCGGGACAGGAGGGGGAAGCUCUACCUUUGGAGGUGGCUCGUGAACCGGGACAGGUGGGGGAAGCUCUACCUUAGGCGGUGGCUCGUGAACCGGGACAGGUGGCGGAAGAUCAACCUUUGGGGGUGGGUCGUAAACCGGGACCGGAGGUGGGCAAGGUUUCUUGAAUUUGGGGAACGGUGGAAGCACCAAAGGUGGAGGUAAAGGGAAAGGAUGAUCAAAGCCCUUAAAUGGAGGGAGCUUAGGCAUGUGCCAGAAGAAUUUCGAAACGCAGAGUUCCGGUGAAAAUUUUAGGUUUUGUUUGAGACCCA